rnacentral:lncRNA from 7 species
UUUUCUUCCUGUAGAAAUGGCAAUAUACCACCCUUUAUUCUCACAGAAGUUCCAGAAAGGUGCAUCAGACAUCAAUCUGUGCCCUCAAAGGCCAGAACUUUCACUGAAGUCAGGAUAGAACUUCAUUAUCAGCAACUGAAGAAAUCCACUAACCUCAUGACUGCAAUCACAUACACAAUGACCAUAUUAAAAUCAAGAAGAUUAAGUCCCUUUUAUUGAAGACACAGGACAAUAAGUUUCAUUUGGAGGUGUGCCCCUACUACAGAGUCUUCAUAAAUAUGGUCUGGUGAGAACACCAGACUGAGCCAGUCGCUAUUUUGGAGGCUACACCAUGUGUCUUGUAUUCAUUAUAAGCGACACCCUGAUAGGCAACACUUCUCUUGGAGCUAAUUCAGGUCCUAACUCAUGAGCACCACAGAAGACAUCUGCAAAGGACUAUCUGAGGACUCUAUCAUGGUCUGCAUCAGGAACACCCUCUGCUUCAGAUACCAACCAGGGAGGAGCCCUGUCUGCUCACUCGCAGUAUUGUCCCAGAGUCGGAGAAGCAAGAUGUCAUCUACCCCUACAAAACCUUUGUUUGGACAAUGAGCAAACUCAGAAUAAGGAAGUGGCUGGGAAGAAGACACCAGAAAUUAUCCAGCUUUCUCAUUUCAGCAAAGAUUGUUUCUGUGUGUGAUCAUACACACAAUCAUAGGUGCAGCAGCGACAUGUUUCAGUAUUCUGCACGAGACAGACAGAAAGACUGUAGAGGACUUCUUUGACUUGCCUAUAUGAGGUUCUGCAUCAAGAAAGCCAAGAUUUUAGAAUUGCUUUGCUGUUUGUGCCUGCAGCUGAGCACGCUAUGAAGAUGCGCAAGGAUGCAAGACCUGCUAGCGUCAAAAGACAGGACUCAACAGCAGGAGAAAAACCUGGUCCAGACCCAUCUAUAUUGCCCAUCUGAGCACUGCCAGAGCAGAACUAUGGAGCCAGGCCUGGAUUUUAGCUGAGCUUUGCAGGUGUGUCCAGCACUCAGAGAGCUUCCCUGAAGACAGCAGAGGAGCAAAGUGGUGUGUGGUUCUGCACUGAGAGAAGCUGAAAACAAUAAAAUUAUCUAAUUUGUUCAUUCAAAAAACCACAGUGAACAAAACCAAUCCUUCAGUCAUAAAGGCCUUGGCUGUUGCCUGUAGUGCUCCUAAAUAAGAGGGAGUGUCGAUGCUUAACCCCUGGACAGAAGAAAGAAUGAUCUGUGUCUGUGAUUUCAAUGUUCUCUUAACCUCCCCCACUCUAGGGUGGUGAUUAGGUACUUUAGUAUAUUUGGUAAACACUGUUUUCAGCCGUUCUACCUAAUGAAUAGAGAGAGACAUUGCCAGCCCUUUCCCCUAAUCAUAUGUGGAAGAGUGAAUAGAAGGCAGACAACACCGUGGAGAGGCUGAACGCUGAUACUGAAUGUGAGGAAAACAACACACUUCUCAAAACAGCUGUUUUCUAGACUUAAAAAGCUAUGUAACCAGUACACUCUUCUCUCCUUACUGAAUCUUAAUAAGCAAUAAAAAUCUGUUCUGAAAUCU